UACGUAGGGCGCAAGCGUUGUCCGGAAUUAUUGGGCGUAAAGGGCUUGUAGGUGGCCAACUAAGUCAGACGUGAAAUCCCUCGGCUUAACCGGGGAACUGCGUCUGAUACUGGAUGGCUAGAGUGUGGGAGAGGGAUGCGGAAUUCCAGGUGUAGCGGUGAAAUGCGUAGAUAUCGGGAGGAACACCGGUGGCGAAGGCGGUUCUCUGGGCCUUACCUGACGCUGAGGAGCGAAAGCGUGGGGAGCGAACAGG
rnacentral:rRNA from 1 species